GCACAUUACAGAAGGAAACUGGAAGUCUACUUGGACUCUUCCAUCAACUACGACAAUCCUGGAAUAGACAGGCAAUUCUUCUACCAGUGUUGCACUGAAUUUGGGUUCUUUCACACCACGGAUUCAAAGAACCAGCCCUUCACUGGGAUGCCUCUCCGUUAUUUUGUUCAACAAUGUUCUGAUUUCUUUGGCCCUCAGUUCAAUUAUGAUUCACUGAACAUGG